GUAUAUAUAUUUAUCUUAAAUACUAUAUAACAAAACCAACAAGCGAUUACGUUUCUUUCAGUGCACUUACAUAUAUGCUCUGCAAUCUGUAGGUGCGAGUGUGAUUGUGAGUGUCCACCUUCUGGCACCGCAAGGUCCCUCACCGGGAUGCUGCGCUGCUGGCAUCCUCUUCCCCCAUAUAUCCUCAGCCCUUCGGACUUCGCCCUCCGCAGCCCACCUCCGGCUGUACUCCCAUCUAGAAUUGAUGUAGCACCUACGGUGCGCCCUCUCCAUCUGCCCACUUCCGGAGCUUCUGUUCCACGCACGUUCAACUUCAACUUCGUUGCAGGUCAUUCGGACUCGUUCAGUCUCAUCCCACAUCCCACCAUCGCGUAAAGUUUUAGAGGACGAACGU
ensembl:ncRNA lncRNA:CR44514 long non-coding RNA:CR44514